GAUGAACGCUGGCGGCGUGCCUAAUACAUGCAAGUAGAACGCUGAAGGAGGAGCUUGCUCUUCUGGAUGAGUUGCGAACGGGUGAGUAACGCGUAGGUAACCUGCCUGGUAGCGGGGGAUAACUAUUGGAAACGAUAGCUAAUACCGCAUGACAACAGUUAUUGCAUGAUAACUGUUUAAAAGGGGCAACUGCUCCACUACCAGAUGGACCUGCGUUGUAUUAGCUAGUUGGUGAGGUAACGGCUCACCAAGGCGACGAUACAUAGCCGACCUGAGAGGGUGAUCGGCCACACUGGGACUGAGACACGGCCCAGACUCCUACGGGAGGCAGCAGUAGGGAAUCUUCGGCAAUAGACGGAAGUCUGACCGAGCAACGCCGCGUGAGUGAAGAAGGUUUUCGGAUCGUAAAGCUCUGUUGCAAGAGAAGAACGAGUGUGAGAGUGGAAAGUUCACACUGUGACGGUAUCUUACCAGAAAGGGACGGCUAACUACGUG
rnacentral:rRNA from 1 species